rnacentral:lncRNA from 1 species
GUCACUUAACCUUCAUUGCCUAGACCUUACUACUCUUCUGCCUUGGAACCAAUACUUACUUAGUAUUGAAUCUAAGAUGAAAGGUAAGAUUUUAUGAGAGGAAGGAAGGAAGGAAGGAAGGAAGGAAGGAAGGAAGGAAGGAAGGAAGGAAGGAAGGAAGGAAGGAAGGAAGGAAGGAAGGAAGGAAGGAAGGAAGGAAGGAAGGAAGGAAGAAGGAAGGAAGGAAGGAAGGAAGGAAGGAAGGAAGGAAGGAAGGAAGGAAGGAAGGAAGGAAGGAAAAGAAAAGAAAAGGAGGGAAGGAAGGAAAAGAAAA